rnacentral:rRNA from 1 species
UACGAAGGAUUCGAGCGUUAUCCGGAUUUAUUGGGUUUAAAGGGUGCGUAGGUGGACUAAUAAGUCAGUGGUGAAAGCCCGCAGCUUAACUGCGGAACUGCCAUUGAUACUGUUAGUCUUGAGUACAGUUGAGGUGGGCGGAAUGUGUCAUGUAGCGGUGAAAUGCGUAGAUAUGACGCAGAACACCGAUUGCGAAGGCAGCUCACUAAGCUGUAACUGACACUGAGGCACGAAAGCGUGGGGAGCAAACAGG